GGUCAUGUGGCUCAACUGGUAGAGCAUGGUGUGAACAUUGCCUGGGUUAGGGGUUCGAGUCCCACUAUGGCCA